rnacentral:rRNA from 1 species
AACGAACGCUGGCGGCAUGCCUAACACAUGCAAGUCGAACGAGACCUUCGGGUCUAGUGGCGCACGGGUGCGUAACGCAUGGGAACCUGCCCUUAGGUUCGGAAUAACUCCCCGAAAGGGGUGCUAAUACCGGAUAAUGUCUUCGGACCAAAGAUUUAUCGCCUUUGGAUGGGCCCGCGUUGGAUUAGCUAGUUGGUAGGGUAAAAGCCUACCAAGGCGACGAUCCAUAGCUGGUCUGAGAGGAUGAUCAGCCACACUGGGACUGAGACACGGCCCAGACUCCUACGGGAGGCAGCAGUGGGGAAUAUUGGACAAUGGGCGAAAGCCUGAUCCAGCAAUGCCGCGUGAGUGAUGAAGGCCUUAGGGUUGUAAAGCUCUUUUACCCGGGAUGAUAAUGACGGUACCGGGAGAAUAAGCUCCGGCUAACUCCGUG